GUGAGUGAGGAUUAUUUGGAAGUGAGCUAGGCCUUCGUUCUAGAACUAAACACUAUUUACAACAAGUCCAGUGCAAACACUGCUUCACAUAAAAAAAUGCAAGUCUAAACUAUCCAUUUCCUGCUCCGUUUGGCCCCGACACAAAACUUCUCAGCUCACACAAACAACUGCAUAUCUUUAACUAGGAUCAUAGCAAUCAUAGUAGCAGUAAACAGAAAGGGACGAACAAGUGGCUUCUUCCUCCCUGGCCUGCCGAACCUAGAAUUAUGACGGAGCCACGGAACACAAUGCAAUCCUGAUUUACUGUCCGGUUUUCCCCUCUUUGUGACAGGGCGGGACGUGUGUCACCGUACGAGCGUGUGCGCGGUGAACCCUUCCCUCUACCCAAAUGUUUGCUGAAACGGCUGAAAGGUCCAUUUCUAGAGGUUGACGGUGCGCGUCCUACUACCUCAUCAACAACGAGAAUGAACCCGGGCCUCAGCGAUACACACCGCCCGUACAGAGCAAUGCAAACCGGGACCCCCCCUGAUUCCAGCGAUGUAUCCAAAGGGGGGCGCCGCAGGUGAACCCCAACCCGCCACGCCCGCUAACUCUGCAGGAAGUACCAAAACCGGCGACCCGUGGCACCGGAACACAGCCAGCACCACGCUGCAGUAACUCCUCCACCACCAGCGCCACCGCCGGCCUCCCUCCACCCUCCACCUCCACCCAGGGGUCCUAUCACUAACAGGCUUCUAAGAGGCUUUAGCUUGCCCCCUCCACAAAGAGCUGCCUGUUGUGGCCAGCCCCGGGAGUGGGCCGGGACAGGUGGCGGUCCCCACAGGGGAGUGUGUGUGAGUGUGUGUGUGUGUGUGUGGUUGACUGCUAGAGUAAUCGGAGUCAAGUCGGACACAAAACAAGCCGAGGUGUGUGUGUGUGUGUGUGUGUGUGUGUGUGUGUGUGUGUGUGUGUGUGUGUGUGUGUGUGUGUGUGUGUGUGUGUGUGUGUGUGUGUGUGUGUGCGUGUGGGGGGGUUUUAGUCGACUGUUUAUGCAUCUGUUCAAAAGGAGAUUGGUUUUGUGAGCGUGCGGCACACAGACUGGAUAUCAUAUUGCCUCUUGGGGAAAUGUUUAGAAGAUAUAAAUGACACUGAUGUUAGACGAAGAUAAAGAAAACACAGGAAUAAAUGAGGGAUAAACA